rnacentral:rRNA from 1 species
UACGUAGGUGACCAGCGUUGUCCGGAUUACUGGGCGUAAAGAGCGCGCAGGCGGUCGUUCAAGUCGAGUGUGAAAGCCCCCGGCUCAACUGGGGAGGGUCACUCGAUACUGAUCGACUUGAAGGCAGGAGAGGGAAGCGGAAUUCCCGGUGUAGUGGUGAAAUGCGUAGAUAUCGGGGAGGAACAUCAGUGGCGAAGGCGGCUUCCUGGCCUGUUCUUGACGCUGAGGCGCGAAAGCUAGGGGAGCAAACGGGAUUAGAUACCGAGAGUCGAGUCC